rnacentral:lncRNA from 1 species
GAAUUUUACAUCGCACUCUAAUUCUCAGACACGGAGCAAAUUUUAUUUCAGAGAAGAAUGCAAUUUCAAAAGUACAAUGACUAUACUCUCCAUGAAAAAGGUCUGUCUUACUUGUAUUAACUAAUGUACUAACAGAAUUCGAACAAUUUUUUGAUUGAUUCUGUUCGAAUGCCAUCAAAUUUUCUUUAGCCCUGCCAUUAAUAGACUUUGCCUUUUAUCUUUAUCCUCCCAUCUCAGUUUUGUAAAAUUCCUAAUUUUCAGUUCAUUUGAAGUGUUAUUUCUGGGUUUUAUAUUUGUAUGGUAUAUAUGAUACAAUGAAUAUUUACUUAAUUUUUUUUCAUUUUCUUUUCAUCAAUUUUCCUCUUAAUUUUUUUUACAAGUAAAAUAUUUGGGAGUAACUAAGAAAUGAGACAGAGAAACUGUAAUGAUGACCAUAUCCUCCUACUGACUUAUGCUGAAGACAAAAUAAAAGUUCCAAUCUUGCUACUAGACAAAUGAUUGUUCCCACCCUCUUUAUGUGUCUCAUUCUUAAUGGAGAAGCAUGUAAAAAUAACCUGAAGCUAAAAGUAGAGAACUCUAGAGAAGGAAGAAGGAAGAUGAACCCAUCCACUUGUCUGUUAUGACAAAUUAGUGUUGCUCUGAGGCCAUUUUGAGGCCAUUUCCACCUGUAUGAGGCCUGUAUUUGCUCCCCUCUCCAAACAGUAUGUUAGUCACCUUUUCAUAAUGGCCCUCCUUACUUGUUUUUCUUUUCUUCAGACCAUUUGACACAGUCUGCUGUUUUACUAGGCAUUCAGAAGGCUUUAGCAUGCCUUCUAAUCAUAGCAUAUUAAAGAACAAGCAAAUGUUAAUGUCU